rnacentral:snoRNA from 1 species
GGGCAGCAAAUAUUUUUGAAAAGUAAUAAUGCCAUAACAUGCUACAUAAAAGGAGUUCUCAAGGCUGCCAACCUUACAGUAGAGGUUGAGUAGUAGUAUAUUUCUCCUACAUAG